CCGGGACUACGCUACCCAGCAUCCUCGGCGCGGCCCGGAGGCUAUGCGACCCUGCGCGUCGCAUCCCCUCGGUGGACUACACUCCCCAGAGUCCUCGGGAGUCGUCCAGGUACACGCCCCAGAAUAUUGGUCAUAGCGGUCCACCCGGGACUGCGCGACCCGGAAUCCUUGGAAGGACUUCUCGGAAGGACUCCUCUCUGACAGGUGGGGCGAGCCUAUGGUCGUUUGGACGUGGAGGGAUCCUUUCAGAACCGGCGAUUUCUUUUAUUUAGGUAGCCCUAUACAUACAUUAAGCAUAUUUUCCCAUUUCUAUGAUAUAGACAACACCUUUUUGCUUUUCUUCCACAUCUUCACACUCCUUCAGGAUCAAAAACCUAAGCCACAUGACUGGAUGAGCCGUCACUUGGCCUUCAUUCGGGUAGUGAUGGUCCUCACUGUAGUGGAUGUUUUGCCUCCAGAUAUGCUUGAAUCACUGCAUUUUGGGAAUAACUUCAAAUGCAAGUCCUUGAUCUAAAUAAACAGAGUGACGAGGGGCCUAUGUAUCUAUACCACCUGUCUCCUGAGUAUACACCAGGCCAGCAUAAUCAGCCUCAGCAACUUCUGGUUGGAAAGCUUUAAACAUAAAUUUACAAAUAACAUUGUCAGUGUCCUCUUUUUUCUUUUUUGUUCCCUCAAUUUGUCUUUCAGUAGUGACAUAAUAUUCUUCACUGUGGCUUCUUCCAUUGUGACCCAGACCAAUCUACUUAAGGUCCGCAAAUACUGCUCACGUUCUCCCAUGAAGUCCAUCAUGUGGGGAGUGUUUUCCUUGUAGGAUUACGCUGCUCUCAAGUGCAUACAUGAUGAUCUUUUUGUCCAAGCAUCAGAGGUGAUCCCAGCAUCUUCACAGUACCAGCCUUUCCCCAAGAUCCUCGCCAGAGAAAAGGGUUACCCAGAUCAUCCUGCCACUGGUGAGUUGCUUUGUUGUCAUGUACUGGGUGGACCUUAUCAUCUCAUCCUCUUCAUCCCUGUUAUGGACGUAUAACCCAGUCAUCCUGAGCAUCUAGAACCUUGUAGCCUGUGUCUAUGCCACUCUCGUUCCAUUGGUACAAAUCCGCUCUGAUAAAAGAAUAGUUAAUAUUCUCCAAAAAAUGGAAUUAAAGUGCUAUAAUUUUUUAAUGUGUUGGUGAUGAAAAAUAUUUCUAAAAAUUAGUCUCAUUCUAUAGUUAAAUUGUUCAAGUAGCCCCAGAUUUAGCUUACUGAGUUUAAAUAAAAUGCGUGGAAUUACACUUUUAUUAUAUUUUUAUGCUUCUGAAACUGAGGCAUCUAAGGACUAUGUAGUUUCUUCAGUUCAAUGUUCACCAUAGAUUGACAUUUCAGAUAUCAAGUCUUUUGCACUUUUAUUUUUAUGUUAACUUUGUACAAGAAAAUGUUUCUCUCUUUUUGAAGUACAUUCUUAAAAAAUUUGUUUUGGUAAUCAAAUCUCUCAAUGUUUUUACUUUUGAAAAUAUUUACUUACUCUGUUUAUGAAUGAUACUUUAGCUAAAUAUUCAAUUCUAGCUUUUAAGCCAUGCUUGCUCAUUGUAACCUCCCUGACUAAAAAAAAUUAUGUCAAUUUGGAUUUUAAAUUUAAUCUAGAAUUCAUUUUAAAGGGUUUUAAAUGAAAUUUAUAUGUGGCUAGAUACUGUUUUGGUAAUACUCGAUAGUUUCCCGCCUCUAUUGGGAUAUUAUUGACAAAAAUUUUGUAUAUUUAUGGUGCACAAUAUGAUGUUUUGAGGUAUAGACACGUGCACGCAGACACAUAAACACACACACACACACACAUUGUAAAAUUACCAAAAUCAAGCUUAAUAACAUGUCAAUUACUUCUCAUACAAGGGUAUUUUUGGUGUAUGGUGAGAACAUUUGAGAUCUACUUCAUUAAUAUAAUUUACUUAUACAAUACAUAUUAUUAAUAUAGUCUCUAUGCUGUAUACAUAUAUUUAUAUUAACUUCUCUUUUGUUAUUGUUGGAGACAGUUGUCUGUCUUUGUUCCCCAGGCUGGAGUGCAGUGGCAUUAUCAUAGCUCACUGAAACGUCAAACUCCUGGGUUCAAAUCAUUCUCCCACCUCAGCCUCAAAAGUAGCUAGAACUACAGGGGUGCACCACUAUGCCAAGCUAAUUUGUAGGAACAGAGUCUUGCUAUGUUACCCAGGCUGGUCUUGAACUCCUGGCCUCAAGCAAUCCUCCUGCCUUAGCCUCCCAAAAUACAGGGAUUAUAGGCAUGAGCCACAUGCCUAGCUUUAUAACAUUUUCUUUAUUCAUUUAUGUGUUGAUGGACAUUUACAUUGUUUUCAUAUCUUGUCUAUUGUGAAUAUUGCUUCAAGAAACAUAGGAGUGAAGAUAUCUCUUCAAUAUGUGAUUUUAUGUUCUUUGGAUAUUUAACCAUAGGUAGGAUUCCUGAAUCAUAUGAUAGUUUUAUUUUUAAUUUUUUGAUGAAUAAUCAUGCUGUUUUCCAUAAUGGCUUUACCAAUUUACAUUCCCAGUGACAGUGUACAAGGUUCCUUUUCUCUCCAUCAUUGAUAACAUUUGUUUUCUUUUGAAUUUUUAAUAAACAUUACCCUAACAUGUGCUUGAGGUGCUAUCUCAUUUUGGUUUUGAUUUGCAUUCUCCUGAUGAUUACUAAUGGCUUCUUUGAAAAAGGAUCCAUUUAGAUUAUUUGGCUACUUUUAAAAAGAAUGUGUUAUUUUUAUUGUUAUUUUUAUUCAGAGGGGGUUAUAUUUUAUGAAUUUCUUACAGAUUUUGAAUGCUAACCCUUUAUCUGAUAUUUGGCUUACAAGUAUUUUUCUUCGGUUCUGUGGAUUGCCUUUUAAAUUGAUUGACUGUCUUUUGCUAUGCAGUAGAAACUUUUUAGUUUGAUGUCGUUUCAUUUUUUUUCUCCCUGGGCUUUUAGUGUCAAAUACAAAAAAUAAUUAUUGCCGCAAACAAUGCCAAAGAAUUUUCCCCAAUGUUGUUUUCUAAAAGUUUUAUGGUUUCAGGUCCAAUAUUGAAGUCUUUAAUCUCUUAAGUUAAUUUUUGUGUAUUCUGUAAAAGAUGGGUUAAAUUUUUUUUGCAUGUGUAUAUCCAGUUUUCCCAUCACCAUUUAUUGAACAGUGUAUUCUUUCUUCACUGUAUAUUUAUAUAUCUUUGUUGAAAAUUAGUUGACUGUGUUCAGAUGGAUAUUUCUGAGCUCUCUAUUCAGUUUCAUUGGUCUAUGUGUCUGUGUUAAUGCCAGCAUCAUGCUGUUUUGAUGACUGUAGCUUUGUUAUAUCAUUUGAAAUUAAGAAGUUUGAUGCCUUCAGCUUUGUUCUUGCUCAAAAUUCUUUGGUUAUUUUGGGUCUUUUCUAAUUCCUUACAAACUUUAGAAAUUUUUUAUUUUUCUGGAAAAUGAUAUUUUAAUUUUGAUGGAGAUUGCUUUAAAUUUUUUUUUUUUUUUUUUGAGAUGGAGUCUCACUGUGUCACCCAGGGCCCAGGCUGGAGUGCAGUGAGGUGAUCUCAGCUCACUGCAACCUCCACCUUCCUGGUUCAAACAAUUCCCCUGACUCAGCCUCCUGAGUAGCUGGGAUUACAGGUGCACGCCACCAUGCCUGGCUAAUUUUUUUGUGUGUUUUUAGUAGAGAUGGGGUUUCACCAUGUUGGCCAGACUGGUCACGAACUCCUGACCUCAAGCAAUCCACCCACCUCGGCCUCCCAAAGUGCUAGGAUUACAGGUGUGAGCCACUGCACCCGGUGAGAUUGCUUUAAAUCUUUAUAUCACUUUUAGUAGUAUGAAUGUUUUAAUAUUAAUUUAUCCAAUCCAUGAACACUAAGUUUUUUUUGUCUCUUCUAUAAUUGCCUUUGCCACUAUUUUAGAGUUUUUAUUGUACAAAUCUUUUACCGUCUUAGUUAUAAGUAUUAUUUUUUAUGUUAUGGCAUAUGGAAUUUUCUUAAUUUUUCCCAUAUAUUUUGUUGUAAGUGUAUAGAAAUGCAAUUUAUUGUUUUGUACAUUGAUAUAGUAUCCUGCAACAUUGCUGAAUUAGUUUAUUAGUUUUAAAAGUUUUUUUCCUGUAAUGAUGAGCACACGGGACUGUGUUUACACACUCAUUAAUAUUCUGUUAACAUAUCACAGUGCCUAAAAAUGUGCUCUGUUGUAUUUCUGCGGUGACCAAUUUAAUGGCAUCUUUUAGUCCUAAUUUUUUUUUCUUUUAAAAUACUUUUGUCUGGUAUUGUAUAAUGGUGUGUUACUUUUCAGUUGUGCUACACAUUUAUUUCCAGGCAGAGUUAGUCAAGCUUUCUAAUAAAGUUAUUUAAUACCUUUA
rnacentral:lncRNA from 1 species